rnacentral:rRNA from 1 species
UACAGAGGUCUCAACCGUUGUUCGGAUUCAUUGGGCGUAAAGGGUGCGUAGGCGGUCGUGCAAGUCGGAUGUGAAAUCUCAGGGCUCAACCCUGAAACUGCAUUCGAUACUGCGCGGCUAGAGUGCUGGAGGGGAGACUGGAAUUUACGGUGUAGCAGUGAAAUGCGUAGAUAUCGUAAGGAAGACCAGUGGCGAAGGCGAGUCUCUGGACAGCAGCUGACGCUGAGGCACGAAGGCCAGGGGAGCAAACGGG